rnacentral:lncRNA from 1 species
UGGAAAUUUUCUCUAGAAGAAAUGAUAACAGUAGUAUUUUGGUCAGUGUUCAGUUGUGGAGAAUAAAAUUCACUCAAACUAGUUUAAGCAGAAAGAGAUUAAUCACAGAGUAUUAAAUGGUUUGCAGUAUCAAAUCGCUGAGCUUCCAGGAGUGGUUCCCAAACCCACGCUGCCUGUCCAGGGAUUGUUGCCUUUGCCACAAUCAGGAUGCUGUAGUAUCAGAAAGACACCACCACAACUAUCAGCUCCAGAGCCUCUGCUAUGAGCAGAAAAUAGCCUGCCACGUUAGGAAGCUGCUGUUACAGCUGCUGUCCCAGACUGUACUGCUGUUGUUCCGAGCCACAGCAACAAAAGUGUCUGCUAGAAAUCUAACAUUGGAAGAGCUGACGAAGAUGGUGAUUCAGGAGGCUCCCGAACAUCCCUACUCCCAUGAAUGCAACAAACGUACAGCUACACUCAGAGAAAUUCCCUCUGAAAGAAAUCCAGAACCUAGUUGAGCAACUGCUACACAUCAGGUAGAUGAGAAAAUACAAGAUGGGUAGGAAAGGUUGAGACAUACUCUCACCAUAAACCCGAGAAUCCCAAACUCCCAACUUCUCUAUGAGGAGCACAGAAUUUGGACUUCACAUCUAGCACCUUAACUUUUCACUCCCACCUGAGGGAUAGGUCCCCAAGACACGUAGCUCUGAAAGCCAACCAGGACUUGUGUCCACGAGACCCUCAAGACUAUAGCAUACAAAGAAACAGUUCUUAAUGAGUGAGCAAGUACUUGAUGCAGCUGUCUCCCUGGGGGUCAGAGCAGAGGCAGUAGGCAAAAACACCCAUCUCCCAGUCUUCCCCUGAGAGGGGUCUCACUGCAUACUUUAUAAGCUGCUGCUUGAGCUUCUAGCUUCUAAUUUUAGCAGAUAUCCAGGGGUUGGCUGUGAUCUUCUGCAGAGCCUGAAAGAGACGGUGGGCACUUCCCCUGUCUUCUCCCUCUGACUUGCUCCAACAGUAAAACCAAAUCAUCAGUAUCUCCCUGGAAGGAGCUUGUACACACAUCUGUCACCUCAGCUUUUGCAGCUACUGCCUGAGGAACAGGCCCCCAGAUCACCUGGCUCUGAUAACCACCAGGGUUUGCAUUCACAAGUCCCACAGAACCAUAGCAAACAAAGAAGCAGUUCCUAAUGGGCAUGAGCAUGUGAGCACUUGCUGCAGCUAUACCCCCAGGGCUCAGCCUAGAGGGAGCAGGUAAAAAUGCGCAUCUCCCAGUCUUUUUCUGAAAGAGGUCUGACUGCAUCCCUUACAAGCUCUUGCCUGAGGGUCUGCCUUCUAAUUUAGCACACACCUAGGGGCUGGCUGCUGUACCCCCUGAAGAUCAAG